AGAGUUUGAUCAUGGCUCAGAACGAACGCUGGCGGCAGGCUUAACACAUGCAAGUCGAACGCUCGUAGCAAUACGGGAGUGGCGGACGGGUGAGUAACGCGUGGGAACGUGCCCUGAGGUACGGAAUAACUGAGGGAAACUUCAGCUAAUACCGUAUGAGCCCCGAGAGGGGGAAAGAUUUAUCGCCUUGGGAGCGGCCCGCGUCGGAUUAGCUAGUUGGUGGGGUAACGGCCUACCAAGGCUUCGAUCCGUAGCUGGUCUGAGAGGACGAUCAGCCACACUGGGACUGAGACACGGCCCAGACUCCUACGGGAGGCAGCAGUGGGGAAUCUUGCGCAAUGGGGGCAACCCUGACGCAGCCAUGCCGCGUGAACGAUGAAGGCCUUAGGGUUGUAAAGUUCUUUUACCCGUGACGAUGAUGACGGUAACGGGGGAAUAAGCUCCGGCUAACUUCGUG
rnacentral:rRNA from 1 species